UACAGAGGUCUCAAGCGUUGUUCGGAUUCAUUGGGCGUAAAGGGCGCGUAGGCUGCGGGGCAAGUCGGGUGUGAAAUCUCAGAGCUCAACUCUGAAACUGCACUCGAUACUGCUUUGCUUGAGGACUGGAGAGGAGAUUGGAAUUCACGGUGUAGCAGUGAAAUGCGUAGAUAUCGUGAGGAAGACCAGUGGCGAAGGCGGAUCUCUGGACAGUUCCUGACACUGAGACACGAAGGCUAGGGGAGCAAACGGG
rnacentral:rRNA from 1 species